UCUUUUUGAUGUUUUCGCCAGCUCAUCAAUGACAUUAUCAAUUUUCAUAUCACAGUCUAUGUUUAACAAAGCCAAACUAUUUAAACGAUUUAGGCCCGUUGAAUUUCUUAAAUACCUUUUUAAACAACGUAGUAACGUAGUGAUGAAAAUGACCCCACACUCCCGUGGCAGUUGAUACAGGUAGCGUUAUAAAUAUUUGAACAAGUUAAGAAAUUAUUAGAAAAACACCAGGAUUUAUAUUGAAGUAGAGAUCAAUAACAUUAGUUUUCUCGAAUUCCAUCGGUGAUAAAGAAAUGCACCGAGUAUACCACAAGUCUAAUUCCCCAUUUAAAAUAGAACUAUUUAUAUUUAAAUCAGUGUAAUCAUCAAUAAUGUCUU